AUAAAUUUACAAUUUCAUCUAAUUAGAGUUUUUAAAAAACCAAAUCAAAAUUACAAACUAAAAUAAAGGCAAAAUUAAAUUACAAUAAGAUUUAAACCAAACUAAAUUAAAUUACAAUAAUUUUUAAUUUGUUGCUGUUGUUGCCUCUCUGCCUCUCUGUUUCUGAUGCAGUGUUUGGCUCUAUUGUGUUGCUGCCUUUCUGUUUCAGAUGUAGUUGUCAUUGACCUUUGCUUUGUAACUGAAUUGAGAAACAUAAAAACAUAAUUUUUUUAAAUCAGUCUUGGUAUACAUUGUGCAGAACAAAGAGACAACUUUUAG
rnacentral:lncRNA from 1 species